rnacentral:rRNA from 1 species
CCGGGUUCCGUAGGUGAACCUGCGGAAGGAUCAUUGAAUCUAUCACAAACCACACCCGCGAACCAUAUUUGUUGGCCUCCUUGGGCUUCUUUUAGAGGCACUUGGGCCAGGCGCGUGCACAUACUCGCUAUGUGCCGUGCUUGGGUCGUUGGCCCAUUAAUUUAUUAAUGGGCUGGCGUCGGUCUUUUUACUAACCAACCAACACCAAACCAAAUCAAAUUAAAUCAGAGUGCUUGGCUUAGAGCCAACACUCACCAACCAAGACAACUCUCAACAACGGAUAUCUUGGCUCUCGGAUCGAUGAAGAACGCAGCGAAAUGCGAUACGUAGUGUGAAUUGCAGAAAUACGUGAACCAUCGAAUCUUUGAACGCAAAUUGCGCUCGCGGCUUCGGCCAAGAGCAUGUCUGCCUCAGCGUCGGGUUAAUACUCACCCAACACCCACAUGUGGGUGUUGUGUGGAACUGGCUUUCCCGGGUGAACAACUUGUUGUCCCCCCGGGUCUGCUGAAGUGCAGAGGUUGAUGCAUGGACCCGCUAAUGGGCCUCUACUGGGUAGGCAACUUGUUGCUAUGCUUUAGUGGAUGGCUUGGGACUGUGCUUGUUGACCCUAACCAGGAACUCGGGACUUUGUUCCGAGCAACCCCCCAUUUUCUCGACCUGAGCUCAGGCAAGAUUACCCGCUGAACUUAAGCUAAUGGGAA